UGGGGGAUAUUGCACAAUGGGCGAAAGCCUGAUGCAGCGACGCCGCGUGGGGGAUGAAGGCCUUCGGGUUGUAAACUUCUUUUGCUCUGAACAAGGCAUGCUAAUGGGUGUGUUGAGUGUAGGGGUUGAUUAGCGCCGGCUAACUACGUGCCAGCAGCCGCGGUAAUACGUAGGGCGCGAGCGUUGUCCGGAAUUAUUGGGCGUAAAGGGCUUGUAGGUGGCUGGUUGCGUCUGUCGUGAAAGCUCAUGGCUUAACUGUGGGUUUGCGGUGGGUACGGGCUGGCUUGGGUGCAGUAGGAGAGGCUGGAAUUCCUGGUGUAGCGGUGGAAUGCGGAGAUAUCAGGAGGAAUACCGGGGGCGAAGGCGGGUCUCUGGGCUGUUACUGACACUGAGGAGCGAAAGCAUGGGGAGCGAACAGG
rnacentral:rRNA from 1 species